rnacentral:rRNA from 1 species
GACGAACGCUGGCGGCGUACUUAACACAUGCAAGUCGAACGGAAAGGCCCUGCUUUUGUGGGGUGCUCGAGUGGCGAACGGGUGGGUAACACGUGAGUAACCUGCCCUUGACUUUGGGGUAACUUCAGGAAACUGGGGCUAAUACCGGAUAGGAGCUCCUGCUGCAUGGUGGGGGUUGGAAAGUUUCGGCGGUUGGGGAUGGACUCGCGGCUUAUCAGCUUGUUGGUGGGGUAGUGGCUUACCAAGGCUUUGACGGGUAGCCGGCCUGAGAGGGUGACCGGCCACAUUGGGACUGAGAUACGGCCCAGACUCCUACGGGAGGCAGCAGUGGGGAAUAUUGCACAAUGGGCGGAAGCCUGAUGCAGCAACGCCGCGUGCGGGAUGACGGCCUUCGGGUUGUAAACCGCUUUCGCCUGUGACGAAGCGUGAGUGACGGUAAUGGGUAAAGAAGCACCGGCUAACUACGUG